UAGGGAAUAUUGGGCAAUGGCCGAGAGGCUGACCCAGCCAAGCCGCGUGCAGGAGGAAGGCCUUAUGGGUUGUAAACUGCUUUUAGCCGGGGCUAAAGUUCCCCUCGCGCAGGGGAAGUNAAGGUACCGGCGGAAUAAGGAUCGGCUAACUCCGUGCCAGCAGCCGCGGUAAUACGGAGGAUCCGAGCGUUAUCCGGAUUCAUUGGGUUUAAAGGGUGCGCAGGCGGGGCUUUAAGUCCGCGGUGAAAGGCACGCGCUCAACGGGUGCACUGCCAUGGAUACUGGAGUCCUAGAUCAUGGACGGCGUGGGCGGAACAUGUCAAGUAGCGGUGAAAUGCGUAGAUAUGACAUGGAACACCGAUCGGGAAGCCGGCUCACGAGGCCAUGGAUGACGCUCAGGCACGAAAGCGUGGGGAUCAAACAGG
rnacentral:rRNA from 1 species